rnacentral:rRNA from 1 species
GAUGAACGCUGGCGGCGUGCCUAAUACAUGCAAGUCGAGCGAACAGACGAGGAGCUUGCUCCUCUGACGUUAGCGGCGGACGGGUGAGUAACACGUGGAUAACCUACCUAUAAGACUGGGAUAACUUCGGGAAACCGGAGCUAAUACCGGAUAAGAUAUUGAACCGCAUGGUUCAAUAGUGAAAGACGGUUUUGCUGUCACUUAUAGAUGGAUCCGCGCCGCAUUAGCUAGUUGGUAAGGUAACGGCUUACCAAGGCAACGAUGCGUAGCCGACCUGAGAGGGUGAUCGGCCACACUGGAGCUGAGACACGGUCCAGACUCCUACGGGAGGCAGCAGUAGGGAAUCUUCCGCAAUGGGCGAAAGCCUGACGGAGCAACGCCGCGUGAGUGAUGAAGGUCUUCGGAUCGUAAAACUCUGUUAUUAGGGAAGAACAAAUGUGUAAGUAACUAUGCACGUCUUGACGGUACCUAAUCAGAAAGCCACGGCUAACUACGUG